rnacentral:rRNA from 1 species
GUGCAGCAGGCGAGAAUUUUUCUCAAUGGGCGAAAGCCUGAAGGAGCGACGCCGCGUGGGGGAUGAAUGGCUUCGGCCCGUAAACCCCUGUCAUUUGUGAACAAAUUGCUUCACCUAACACGUGAAGCAUUGAUUGUAACGGAAGAGGAAGGGACGGCUAAACUCUGUGCCAGCAGCCGCGGUAAUACAGAGGUCCCAAGCGUUGUUCGGAUUCACUGGGCGUAAAGGGUGCGUAGGCGGUUUGAUAAGUCUGAUGUGAAAUCCCGCAGCUUAACUGCGGAACUGCAUUGGAAACUGUUUGACUAGAGGAAUGGAGGGGAGACUGGAAUACUUGGUGUAGCAGUGAAAUGCGUAGAUAUCAAAGUGGAACACCAGUGGCGAAGGCGAGUCUCUGGACAUUUCCUGACGCUGAGGUACGAAAGCCAGGGGAGCAAACGGGAUUAGAUACCCGCGUAGU